GCUGUGAGCACAGAAGGCAGGACUCGGGACAAUCUUCAUCAUGACCUGGUCCCCUCUCCUCUUCACCCUUCUCAUUCACUGCACAGGGUCCUGGGCCCAAUCUGUGCUGACGCAGCUGCCCUCAGUGUCUCCGGACCCAGGGCAGAAGGUCACCAUCUCCUGCUCUGGAAGCAGCUCCAACAUCGGGAGAAGUUAUGUAUCCUGGUACCAGCAGCUCCCAGGAACAGCCCCCAAACUCCUCAUCUAUGAAAGUAAUAAGCGACCCUCAGGGAUUUCUGACCGAUUCUCUGGCUUCAAGUCUGGCAUUUCAGCCUCCCUGGGCAUCACUGGGCUCCAGACUGGAGAUGAGGCUGAUUAUUACUGCUCAGCAUGGGAUAACAGCCUGAGUGCUCACACGGUGCUCCAGGCCAAUGGGGAACUGAGACAAGAACCCCCUUCCUCCUCUGCCAGGAGGAUCAAUACUGGGCCAAGACACAUCCAUUCUCAUCAAAGAGGCAUUGACAGGAGAAUCAGGUAACCUCAGGAGAGACAAGAAGCAGAUAAACACCCUCCUGUUGGCCUCCUAAGCACAGAGGAGAAAAAAGAAAGGGAAAGAAGUUCAAGAAGCCACACUAGAAGCCACUGAUCACCAUCACCGUGGCCCCUGUCAUCCAUCUGCCCCUCUUUCAAGUAAGGACCAGAUUCACGGGACAGCAUCUGGACCUACCCCUCUCCCCAUGCACUCCUUAGGGUGCCUCCUUCUGCUCUCAUCUCAAGGCGCUGCUUUGCCAGGCCAGCCGUGUCACUGCUGAGAGUCUCCC